CCUACGGGAGGCAGCAGUGGGGAAUAUUGGGCAAUGGGCGCAAGCCUGACCCAGCAACGCCGCGUGAAGGAAGAAGGCUUUCGGGUUGUAAACUUCUUUUAUCAGGGACGAAGCAAGUGACGGUACACGAUGAAUAAGCCACGGCAAACUACGGGCCAGCAGCCGUGGUAAUACGUGGGUGGCAAGGGUUAUCCGGAUUUACGGGUGUAAAGGGCGUGUAGGCGGGAGUGCAAGUCGGAUGUGAAAACUAUGGGCUCAACCCAUAGCCUGCAUUUGAAACUGUACUUCUUGAGUGCUGGAGAGGCAAGCGGAAUUCCGGGUGUAGCGGUGAAAUGCGUAGAUAUACGGAGGAACACCAGUGGCGAAGGCGGAUUACUGGACAGUAACUGACGCUGAGGCGCGAAAGCGUGGGGAGCAAACAGGAUUAGAUACCCGUGUAGUC
rnacentral:rRNA from 1 species